AUUUGCCUCAUUUUCUGGAAUUUUUCAACUGUGUUUCAUUGCUUCUUAGUGUUAAAAGAAUUGAGCUAGCAGGUACCUGCAGCUUCUCUGCCUUGCUGAUUCACCCACGGGUCACUGAUUUGCAGCUCAGAGCUGCUGGCUGCAGAAAUACCUGCCUUCAGUAGCUCAGCUGAUUCUAUCAAGCAAAGAUGGAAAGUCACCCUGCAAGCUGGGAAGAGGGAGCUCACUUGCAGUUCUCCAUUUAGCCAGGAGGUUUCCUAGGCAACCACUUAAGCCAUAAUUAAGGAUAAGGAACUAAAAGACACGUCUCUUUGAAAGCUUCCAGUAGCCUGUUGGUGACAUUUUCGUGGAUGGAGGCUGGAAAGUGGGAACUGAUGAGCACAAACCGUGCUGGACCGAUGGCAGCGCUUCAUGCCCCUUCCCACUGGAGCUGUGACCGCUUCUAAAAUUGGGAAAAUGGCAGCAGCCCAGGCUACCAAACAGGUUUGGACAUUCGAUGAUCCCCAUGGGAAUGACAAAGAUGUCACCUUUCGAUUACCUACUCUGCCUCUGCCACAAUCACUGGCCAGCAAGUGACCAAUUAAAAGGAUUGUCCUGCUCAUCCAGGAACAAGUGACAAAGGUCUAAAGUGUGUGAGGGAGACUGCCACACAUGUAGGCAGGUGCUGGCUAGACUUGGUGACAAACAGGCCGAAAAUGAAGAUGAAGGUGAGUGCCAAGGGUCCAUCUCCGUAGCCUUGCUGGAUGGAUGCUCUUCUAGUUCAGUGGAAACAAGCAAAAGUUAAUGUGUUAGUGUAGCUUCAGGUUGAAAUAGAUUAAAUACAUAGAACAAACAACUUGGAGAUGGACAUCAAAGAAGGAGAGUGGCUAUGGUAUAUUUGAGCAUACGUGUGUAUCAUACAUGUGUAUCAUGGUGUGAAUAUGGUGUCGUGGGGGUAGUGUGUAUGUAUAUUAAAGAAGUUGUAGUGUAGUCUCAUAUCGAGCCUGGCUUGGGAUUACACACUGCCCAGUGGAUUCAGGAACUCAUACUUUGAUCAGAAGGCCAAGUUAGGCCCUGGCUCCCUGUGUGUUUGUUCUGUUGGCUGUAUCUUGCUGUGGCGCUGAGGUACGGACUUUACUAGGCCUAUUCUAUAAACAGAUCUGUAUGCCCAGGAUUUUUUUUUUCAGUCACUGGAUGUGUACACUUCUGCUUUUCCCACCAGCAUAGAGAAGCCUAGAAGUUUUGAAGCUUGUGAAAAUGUCCAUAGAAGUCUUUGAGUUGUUAAGCCUGGACCAUGAAUUUUGAACCUGAGCUGCAGUCAUGGUGGAUCCCUGCAAGGACAAUACUCAGGAGAAAGGGAAAGCCCCUUGCCCUUAGAACUCUUCUAGGCCCUAAUGGGAUUAGUCACCUAAGAUGGGAGAGCGCACUACAGGGUGAGUCAGUCAUCCCGCUGGGAGACUGGAAUAUGAACUCAAACAUCCACCCACAGCCACUUCCUACCUGGAGCUUCGGCAUGGUUGAUUUAAUAUCCCAUCCAGGUUCAGGUUUUUAUGACAGGAAAUGUGUGUGAAAGGUUAAGAUAGGAUUAAAUAAUACUUGAUCUUACAACUAUAGUGCAGGGAGGACCUUUUAAUAGCAAAUCUCUGUGUAGGGAAAAGUUCUGGCUUAUAACUGUAACAUACAUCGAUUUGCAGAAUCUUGCAUGCAGUUGUUACUGUCUUAAACUAAUACCAGAAGAAUCUGUUUAACUUCUUUUCCCAGCUUUCUUGUUAUUAGUGCCUUUGGUUUAGGAAGACAUUUUUAAGUUGUUGUUGUUUUGUUUUGUUUUGUGUGACCCAACGUGAUACAGGACCAUUAAAAUGCGCAGGGUAUCAAGCAUGCUGGGUAAGCACUCCACUACCAAGUAGUAGUAGCUAUUUUGUGUGGAACAUUCUAGACCAACACAAAUGUACAUGGCAUUGAAAUAAGGGAUAGCUUUUUGCUUGAAGAUUGGAAGGACACCAAGACCAAGGACUCGCAGAUGCCACACUAGACAAGCUGCUUUACAAGUCCUAGGGAAAAGGCAACCUGAGGGGGGCACCGGGGAGAGUGUAGCCGAGCAAAUGAAAAGAAAGAAGACCUGCACUAAGUUUGGGGAUGUGCCUAAAGCAGCACUUCUACCUGAGGGGGUUUUUCCUAGGAGAAAAAGCACUCACAGGGAAAGAGGGGCUUCUCUUUCUAGGCCUGGCUGGGGCAAGGGAUCAUACAUAGUUCACACUCACCCUGCCUGUGCUUCCCAGGGGUGAAGGAACACUGGACAGGUUGAGGCUUCUAGUUUGAAGCCUUGGUGGGGCUCUGUUGCAUCAGCGAGCAGGGAUGUAGACGGAUGUGAAGAGCCAGACUUGAGCUCCUUUAUCCACCCUGUUUGGAAACAGGUUCUCUGAGUUCCUACUGCUUCUCAAAUGUAGUAUCACAGAUUUAGGAGGCACAUGAAGCUGUUUGUUUGUGGGCAGACUGACCUGUUAGUUCUAACUUGUUACCACUUAGUUGUUAGAUAUGUUGAUUAAAGUUUCCACAGAACUGUAUUAGCAAGUGACAUGUUCAGAAACCCACCUAGUUAGAGCCUCUGUGUGGCUUUGAGGCUGUUUUUUCCCAUAGUGCUCUCUCACAGUACACCCAGCUGGACUCGUCUGCCAGGCUGUGGAGUACAGCUUGGAGUACCAAGCUCCCGUGGCUUUUAAGUGCUUUCUCCAGCAGGCACUGAUGGGCUAACCUUCGCCAAGUCCCAACUCCCUCCCUCAGUUCCUUUUCUGUAGAACAGGGUAAGAGUGGACCUUGGCCUUUAGUGUGGCUCUGAACGUCACUGGGGUGGUGCCUGAGACAGGGCUGUGUGUCACUGGGCAGUUGAAGAGGACUGAAUAGGUGGAAUGACCAGGUGAGAGCAGAUCAGCAAAAGGAGAUGGAACCCAGGGCUGGCAUCCACAGGAGGCCGCUGUGUCGUCUGUUUGCUGUUUAAAGGGGAACUUUGAGGAAAUAUUAAGUAUAUGAAGUACUUUUGUGCAGGAUUUUAUUUUGUUGGAAGAAGGUGGUCUCUGUACACUUGAAUGGUGUCCACAACAGUGACAGCAAGACUCGGAGCAGGCUCAGAAUCCAGUCACAGUCUUGAGUGUCCAGCCUUGGCAUAGCCAGGGGAGCACGUCCCUGCGGACAGGAGUGACCUUUGAAGCUGCCUUCUGCUAGGUGCUUGUUCUCUCUGCUCUUCCCUGCCUUCUGCUUCAUGGCCUUCUAGUUUAGAUCUAUGUUCCCUUUCUCCUUCUAAAACCCCUGCACUGACCUCCCGGGACUGUGCAUCAGCAAUCAGAGACAUAGGCCAGGACAAGCCACACACAGCCAUCAAGAGCUGAGCCUUGGUAUGCAUGGGACAAUGUGGGAAGAGAAGCUUCCUGUUGGCCAGAGGGGAAGUGAGAUCAUUGAGCAUUUGAGCAGUCGUCAGAGCAUCAGUCAAUGCUCUUGUGGCCUUUUCCCUUUUCUCUCUCACUAAGGACAUUCAUUAGUUCUCAAAGGUGAGGGCAGAAGGAAUGGGUGUUUUUUCUCACCUCCAGUUGUAGAUGCAUUUGACUUGCCCUCAGCUUGUAAAUUAUAUCCACAUUAUGCCAGUGGGUUCUCACACUCAGCAGCAGUGCCCCUCAGCCAGCCUGGAGGUACAGCCCCAGCACAGAGCGGCUUGCCUGGCAUGUGGGAAGUCCUGAGGUGAGUUCCCAGUACUGCCGAAAGCAAGCAGCAGCAGCAGCAGCAGCAGCAGCAGCAAAACCAUUUGUAAAAUGAUUAAAAAAAAAAAAAACAAAAAAAAA